AACGAACGCUGGCGGCAGGCUUAACACAUGCAAGUCGAACGCCCCGCAAGGGGAGUGGCAGACGGGUGGGUAACGCGUGGGAACAUACCCUUUUCUACGGAAUAGCUCUGGGAAACUGGAAUUAAUACCGUAUACGCCCUACGGGGGAAAGAUUUAUCGGGGAAGGAUUGGCCCGCGUUGGAUUAGCUAGUUGGUGGGGUAAAGGCCUACCAAGGCGACGAUCCACAGCUGGUCUGAGAGGAUGAUCAGCCACAUUGGGACUGAGACACGGCCCAAACUCCUACGGGAGGCAGCAGUGGGGAAUAUUGGACAAUGGGCGCAAGCCUGAUCCAGCCAUGCCGCGUGAGUGAUGAAGGCCUUAGGGUUGUAAAGCUCUUUCACCGAUGAAGAUAAUGACGGUAGUCGGAGAAGAAGCCCCGGCUAACUUCGUG
rnacentral:rRNA from 1 species